rnacentral:rRNA from 1 species
AUCUAAUCCUGUUUGCUCCCCACGCUUUCGCACCUGAGCGUCAGUCUUUGUCCAGGGGGCCGCCUUCGCCACCGGUAUUCCUCCAGAUCUCUACGCAUUUCACCGCUACACCUGGAAUUCUACCCCCCUCUACAAGACUCAAGCCUGCCAGUUUCGAAUGCAGUUCCCAGGUUGAGCCCGGGGAUUUCACAUCCGACUUGACAGACCGCCUGCGUGCGCUUUACGCCCAGUAAUUCCGAUUAACGCUUGCACCCUCCGUAUUACCGCGGCUGCUGGCACGGAGUUAGCCGGUGCUUCUUCUGCGGGUAACGUCAAUUGCUGCGGUUAUUAACCACAACACCUUCCUCCCCGCUGAAAGUACUUUACAACCCGAAGGCCUUCUUCAUACACGCGGCAUGGCUGCAUCAGGCUUGCGCCCAUUGUGCAAUAUUCCCCACUGCUGCCUCCCGUAGGAGUCUGGACCGUGUCUCAGUUCCAGUGUGGCUGGUCAUCCUCUCAGACCAGCUAGGGAUCGUCGCCUUGGUGAGCCGUUACCUCACCAACAAGCUAAUCCCAUCUGGGCACAUCUGAUGGCAAGAGGCCCGAAGGUCCCCCUCUUUGGUCUUGCGACGUUAUGCGGUAUUAGCCACCGUUUCCAGUAGUUAUCCCCCUCCAUCAGGCAGUUUCCCAGACAUUACUCACCCGUCCGCCACUCGUCAGCAAAGCAGCAAGCUGCUUCCUGUUACCGUUCGACUUGCAUGUGUUAGGCCUGCCGCCAGCGUUCAAUCUGAGCCAUGAUCAAACUCUUCAAUUUAAAAGUUUGAUGCUCAAUGAAUUAAACUUCGUAAUGAAUUACGUGUUCACUCUUGAGACUUGGUAUUCAUUUUUCGUCNNNNNNNNNNNNNNNNNNNNGA